rnacentral:lncRNA from 1 species
GCUUUUAUGAGCUGUAACACUCACCGCGAAGGUCCGCAGCUUCACUCCUGAAGCCAGCGAGACCACGAGCCUACUGGGAGGAACGAACAACUCCCGACGCGCCGCCUUAAGAGCUGUAACACUCACCGCGAAGGUCUGCAGCUUCACUCCUGAGCCAGCGAGACCACGAACCCACCAGAAGGAAAAAACUCCGAACACAUCUGAACAUCAGAAGCAACAAACUCCGGACACGCCGCCUUUAAGAACUGUAACACUCACUGCGAGGGUCCGCGGCUUCAUUCUUGAAGUGAGUGAGACCAAGAACCCACCAGUUCUGGACACAAUUUCAAGUCCUCAGGUGCCAUCAAUAUUCUGAAAAUGGCAGUGAUUUUUAUUCAACCUGUAUAAGGCACUUUCACCAUGUACCUGGAAGCAACAUCUACAUCUUUUUCAGUUUUCCUCUGUCCACUAUGAAGGACUUUGUGACCACAUUCUGACUCUGAUGAGAUCCUGCCCAGAAUUGACCUGAACCCCAAUAAUUCACCUUUCUCUCAGCAAUCUAGAUGCUGGGGACACAAGGUCCACCUUCCAGGAAUAUGGCCAUGACACCAGAAAUCACAAACAUGAUGAGAAUGGAAUGACUGGGGAAGAAGUGCCAGAUGCUUCACUUGUAAAUGAAGACCCAGCCUCUGGGGAUGCAGAUACCACCUCCCUGAAGAAGCUGAAUAUCUGCAGAUAAGUGGAGUUCACCAAUGAUGAGGAGCGGGAUGGAGAAAGGAGGUAGGGAGAGUCAUCCAAGGAACAUGAGCAACAUGUUAAAAGAAUUGAACCAGAGUCCGGUGAAUAUCAGCACUGGGACCAGUUAGCAGAGGAAAAGGAAAGAAUAAAAGCGAAAAGAAUGAAGAGUCAUAUGAUUACCAACUUUUCCUUUUUCAUAUAAAUUGAGUGUAUAUGGGUCUGGAACAACCUGAAUUUCCAUCAAGUCCUGGCUAACCUCAUUAUGUCCUAUGAAUAUUUUUGACUAAUCCCACUUUACAUUAAUCUGUAUUGUGAAUGUGGAUAUUGAAUUAUAUUUCUUUGUAAUCCCAUUAUCCAAAAUCCAGUUCAGAGACUAUUAGUUACCAAUGUUCACUGUGAAGGAAAAAAAAAAAAAAAAAGCUCAGAGGAUAAACAUGUGAUAUGGUUUGGCUGUGUCCCCACCCAAAUAUCAUCUUGAAUUGUAGCUCCCAUAAUUCCCACGUGUUGUGGGAGGGACCCGGUGGGAGAUAAUUGUAUCAUGGGGGUGGUUCCCCCAUACUAUUCUCAUAGUAGUGAAUAAGUCUCACAAAAUCUGAUGGUUUUAUGAGGGAAAACCCCUUUCACCUGGUUCUCAUUCUCUUCUCUGGUCUGUCGUCAUGUAAGACAUGCCUUUCACCUUCUCCACCAUGACUGUGAGGCCUCCCCAGCCACGUGGAACUGUGAGCCCAUUAAACCUCUUUCACUUAUAAAU